CGCCUUGUUGAAUUUCUCGCAGAGUCUCGCGUUCUCUCACAGCAUCGCGUCUACUCCAGCAGAGCUGCCUGUUUGUGUGCAGUCCUUAAAAUGUCUUAAGGUACUAUUUACCAGGAACUAUUUAACAGCUGUAACCUCCAAGGCUAAGGUUUGAAAAGGUGAAUGAUUAGAUCCUUCAAAAAUGAUCGGUUUUGAACUAAACAGGAGUCUAUUGUUUAUUGAUGUUCAUUUUAUUCAAAUUCCUUAAAAAUGCAUCAGCUACUGUUUUAUUAUUUUCACACACAAACAUCUAAAAUGAUUCUGUCUUAUAUAUUUGUCAUAGGAGCCAUAGUAAGACCUCACAGUGAAGCCUAUGAUACUUUCUGCUUUACAUUUUUAUAAUGUUUGACUACAGUAACAACAUGGUUACUGAGACUAUUCCACAAUAGCUUUUAGAACAGUUUUUGCUUUUACUUUGAACAUGUUUUCAAUUUUAUGAAAUGUUUCCUGUUUUCACACUGUAAGAAACCGUUCUUCUAUUUUUCUAAUACUAAUACUAACACUUACUAACACUAACACUAACAUCUAACUAACUUUUAUCAGCAUUAGCUGCUACUACUUUGUGUCAUUGAUGAUGUCGUUUAUGUGCAGGGUGUAACUGCUUUUAGUUUUCUUUUAUACUUUUAAGCUUCCCUUAAUGAUUCUCCCUCUGAAAGCAGGAGCUGACCUGACCUACUGUUUUGGACCACCGAUGACUAGAAAUUUGAUGAAAGCGUCAUCAACGAUGCUUCUGCUAGGGAAUUGCUGAUUGUGGAAGAUUCAGUGGAACAUCAACUUCAACUGUUUGAAUGUCUUCAGAUUGCGAAACAAAUCAACAUUAGGAAAAAGAAAAAACAAAGGACAGCAGAGAUGGAAUCAACAGAAGAGCAACAUCGGAAACGCCUUAAACAGAACAGGUUUAAGGAAUCUUCUGUGAGUAGGGAAACCAUGUUUCCUUCUAUGAAUGUGGACGAGCACCAACAGAAUAUCAAGAACUUAAAAGGGAGACAGACAGUAAAUGGACAAUACCUUCAAAUGUUGACAAUAAUUUCCCUUGUUUGUAUGUUUGACACUUAGUGUCAAAAAGGGAGGAAUGUAGGAAAUUUUGUGUUUGUCAUCAGAUACUUUGCCUCUGGCUGAGGGUUGUUCAUGGGGGGUCAUCAACCAUUUGGUUAUCAAAUGGUGGGGGUUUUACUGUAGUGACCACGGGAACAUUGUUAAAGGAAGUAAAGGGGGGUUUACUGCACUCAUGUAUAUCAAAGACCAGUCAACAGCUCAUGUGGGGGUUUGUAACAGGGUAUAAAUACAGGUCUUGUGUCCUCAGUCCCUCAGUGGAUACUUUGUACAUGCUGUAGUAAGAUGUGCCUUACGUCUUAGAGGUAUUGUGAUUGUGAUCCACUCCGUGUCGACAUGAGAGUAAACUUUGAGAUGGUUUAUCACACUGAUGAUCUCCGGUUGAUUUCUUUAUAAGAAGAUUUCCACAACAGGGUCAUCAAGCAUUUGGUUAUCAAAUGGUGGGAGUUUCACUGUAGUGACCACAGGAACAUUGUUAAAGGAAGUAAAGGGGGGUUUACUGCACUCAUGUAUAUCAAAGACCAGUCAACAGCUAAUGUGGGGGUUUGUAACAGGGUAUAAAUACAGGUCUUGUGUCCUCAGUCCUUCAGUGGAUACUUAGUGAGAUGUGCCUUACGUCUUAGAUGUAAUUGUGAUCCACUCCGUGUCGACAUGAGAGUAAACUUUGAGAUGGUUUAUCACACUGAUGAUCUCCGGUUGAUUUCUUUAUAAGAAGAUUUCCACAACACUGUUCGCCGUUUGAGCAGCGGUUUGUUUAUACCUGACCUGGCGUUUGAGCAGUGUUUUUGUUUAUACCUAUCUUGCCAUAUGAGCAGCGUUUUAUUUAUAUCUGUCCUGCCUUAUGAGCAGCAGUUGUGUUUUCCUACCGUGAUUCCUGCCAGCCUUGCUGCAGGUUUAGUUUGUCUACUUUGGUGUGUCCAUUAAAUCCGCUUAACUGUGCAUAGCCUCUUGUCCUGCUUUUGGGUACCAGUCUUAGAAGCCCGACCGCCUGAACGUAACAGUUUGUGCCUAAUGGCAACAGCAGGGAAGCAGCUCAGCUUACCUCACCUGGUCCUGAGUUCAGCACAGCUGCUGAGGGUCGCUGAACUGGUUCCCGCUCCUGUGCUCCGCUUUGCAGAGCCAGUACCUGCUGAUCCCUCCAGUUUGCCUGAACUGAGUUUGGAUAUUGACUAGAAGGCUAUUUCCCCAAUGGUCUGGGUUCGUUUGUGUGAGCUGAUAGCCGAAAUAUGCAGGCCAAACGAAAGGCCUGUCUAGAAGCUAUGGACCUCACUUUGGAGACUUCUGGACUCAGUUCAAUCCUGGGUAUGGGAGGUUUGUUUGUGGAAUUGGACUCUGUUUGCUGGCCUGCUGACACGCCUGCAUCUGAAACUUUGUCUGCAGUGGAGGACUCGCUGCUUGGCGCAGGCUUCUCUUCCGUCUAGCUCUGCAGUUGUUCACUCAUCUGGUUUGUCGUUAGAUGCUGCGGCUCUUCAGCCUCCCAGCCUCUCAUCUGCCUGGUACAGCUCCACAUCUGGUUUUGUCUUUGGCUCUGGUUCCGGCCCCACGUCUGGGUUCGCCUUUGGCUCUGGUUCCGGCUCCACAUCUGGCUUCGUUUCUGGCUCUGGUUUCGGCUCCACGUCUGGCUUCGUCUCUGGCUCCGGUUCCGGCCCCACGUCUGAUUUUGUCUCCGGUCUCUGUGUGUCGCAAUGGUCCAAGCGGAACGCCGCUGGUUCCUGAUCAUCGUUAAGUAGGUCCAGGGAGGACGCUGUUCACUCAGGUUCAUCGCAGAGGCCCACGAGCAGCCUUAUGGAUCAUGGGGCCUAGGCCACCAAACUGGUCGCCUUGCCUCCAUAACCACCCGCUGUUACGCUGGCUCUGCCUCUAAAUCCUGCCCAAGCGUCCUUAGUUUGUAUUUACCUCUGUCUGUAUGGUUAUUUAUUAAACCAUUUAUUGUUUAGUCCUGUCUGCGGGUCGUGCAUUUGGGUCCUCCCUCUCUGUCUUGUUUGUAGGCCUGAAUAGCCUGUUCCCCGCACCGUGUGGGUAACAUGUAUAUUUUAGGUGGUUGAGCAGCAGACACAGUGUCUCUGCAAUAACUAAGACUAAGAGAGGGUGGCGGCUGUAGAGAACAUGCAGACAGGCGUGUAAGACUGCGACUCUGCGUCCUGGGCUCCACUCUGAGUUGUCAUGGAGUAGGGAGGCUAAGCAACAUGGCCUUAUUACUAGAGAGCAGAGAGGCUCCUCUUCUAAUCAGCCCAGGUUUUCCCCAAAAAGUGCUCCAAUUAGCCACAAACAUGCCACAUAAACAACAAGCCACAUAAUUCCUAUCGUUGGGCAUAAAGAUCACAAAGAGACACUACUGAGUUAGAUAGUGUCAUGCUUUUGUUAUCUUUAGGCUGGUCUACUGUAACUUCUUACACAUACAGUAGGAUGUCCUAACAGCCCCUUUAAAAAGCCUACAGCUAAAUUAAAAUGCUGCAGGACAGGAGUCAUAAAAAGUCUUCAGGAGUGGCCCCCUCACUCAGUCACACAGUCUCCCAAGGAGGUAGAGUCUCCGCUGACCCUUCUUGUACAGAACAUCAGUCUCAAUAUCCAUUCCCUGGUGCGUCGGUAGGAUGACAGCAAACUGCAGUCAGAAAAUCCACCACCAUCUCCUUGGUUGUCCCAGCGUUGAGCGUUUGCUGGCACCAGUCCACAAGGCCUGAGUGAGUCCAUCCAUUUUCUAAACCGCUUAUUCCCUAAUGCGGGGAAUAAGGAGGUGCCGGACCCAGCUGACUAUGGGCGAGAGGCAGGGUACACCCUGGACGGGUCGCCAGACCAUCGCAGGGCAACACACACUCACACCUAAUGCAAUGGAGAGAGGCCAAUCAACCUAAUGCACGUCUUUGGAAUGUGGGAGGAAGCCGGAGAACCCACGCAAACACGGGGAGAACGUGCAAACUCCACACAGAAAGGCACCAGGGCCGCCUCCGGGAAUCGAACCCAGAACCUUCUUGCUGACUGCACAACAAUAGCCAGCUGGUCCGGUAGCCUAGUACAACCAUACAUCUACGAUCCCGAAUCUGACCCUGAAGCUAAAGAGGAGGCUGUUGAAGUCACCACAUUUCGGCUGAUGCAAAAUGUGUCUCAUUGGUAUCUAGUCUACAGAGGCUGGUGCUGGGGUUUCCUGGGGUGAAGAAUCUGAGUUACCAUCUCUUCAUGCGUGGGUUGUAGAUGAAGGCAGUUUCCUGAUGGAUAAAACACUAAAACACUCUCUGUAUAUUGGAUGUAGACCACCUGUGGAAUAACUCCUUUACCAUUUGAGUAGAAAUGUGUUUUUGUGUAUGCAAUACUCAUCAAGAAUUUGUUUUAUUUUAAAAAUAUUUACACAUGCUUUUUAUUUAUGGCAAGUUCACCUUUAUAGCUUACCAUAUUAGAAAGAGAAAAACAUGUAAUUUCAACACUAUGAUUUCCUGUCAACCAAAAAAUGCACCACUACUCCAAAGCUAGAACAAACUGUUAUCUUCACCUAUACAUUGCACACACAAUGUGCAAUGUAUAGGUUACUGAGUUAAUGACUGUCUGGGGGUUUGAGGACAGAAGCUUUUGCAGGGCCUUGCAGAUAAAAUGCUUGAUAGAAAUAGGGUAAACAGACCAUGUCCUGGGUAGACUGUAAACUUGGUUAUGUUAGAGAUUUGUUUCUGCAGCAGGACAGGUAUAGUUGUAGACAGAUGACCAGGGAGAUGUUGUGAUCCUUGUUCUCAUAACUAUUUGGAAGACUGAGCAGAAGCAGUCCUCUACCAGAUGGGAGCGUUGGCUGUCCUCACCAUCACCUUAUCAAAACAAAGGUACUGCAAGCAGAAUUGUAGAUUAGUGAAAUGUUCAGUAUUAUGUAGGUUAAAACCUUCUCUAAUGUAACAAUACACAAUACCAGACAAAAAAUUAAACCAAACAACAAGACAGGCCCACCUGUGCUAAAAUAACAGAUGUAUACUGUACAGUGUAUACCAAUUAAAAUUAAAAUCUUCUAUUGCCUAUCUUACUGUUGGUACAUACAACUGUUGGGGGACCUCAUCUGUAUAAUCUGUUAUUAACAGAAUUAUUAUUAAGGUCCCACAUGCUCAGACAAAGGAGGCACUGCGGCCUGCAUGUAAAGUCCUCAUCCUGAUAGUAGUGAGUGAGAACAAAGAGAUUUCAAAUCUUAGCGCCAAAACCAGGCGCCAGGCUGGGGACCCAUACCUGGCUCCCCCGCUGACAUCCAACUCCCGCUGACACAAGCGACAAACGGAGGAGAAACUUGGACGUCAGCCAUCCUGAUUGGAUCAAACAAUAGGACGGGCGUGACCAAACACACGGUUAUAAAAGUCGCCGUGACCGAAGACUCGUCCCUUGUUCUCUUCGACCCGCUCCCUGCCCCACCUGGAGCUUCCCUCUGCACGCCUAAAGCCUCCACCGCAGCCAGCAGCUGAACCAACGGAAACGUCGUCACAGAGAACGGGCCUGAUCACCCAUCUACUUCCAGCCACACGGCAGGAAACCGCCAGCUUAACUGCCUCACUCGCCGCCGCAUCAUCUGAUCACGACGCAAUCACCGCGACGCACACCUAGACCGGACCGGACCGCAACAGUGCAAGCACGCACGCACGCACGCACGCAACGCCGGAUCGUCUCACCAGGAUUAAGCAGUAAGGCAGAGGCAUUCUUAGGUCUGAGCAGAGUAGAACUUUUAGGGGAUCAGUAAUUGUUUUGUUGUUGUGUUUUCUUUUCCUGAACACGCGAUCUGAUCACUGUGUAUUUCCGCGAUCACGUGACUGUAACGCUGUUAUAGAUCUACGUGAAUCUAAGAGGUGUGACCACAAGCCUUAUUCACGCUAGUCUCACUUCACACUCCUUUACACGCCUCUUUCCCUGUGAGCGCCAGACACGCGCGCUCCUUUCAAAGGGCUCACCGGCACACCCGCAGCUGUGCCAUCUCACCACGCCCCUAAAGGGGGGCGCACUCCUCCUUCCUCCUCCUUUCUCUCUCUCUCUCUCUCUUUCUCUCUCUCUCUCUCUCACUCACACACACACACACACACACACACACACACACACACACACACACACACACACACACACACACUCCUCUUAUCUCUGGUAACACGCAUACACAUACAGUACUUCCAGACGAACACACCAUAAGAUUAAGUUGUGAUUUGCUGAGUUAUUCAGGUUAGUGUUGACGCUAGAGUUAGUAUUAAUUGUUUAAUAAAGCAUUCAUAAUUUAAUUGGUCGUUGUCUGUGAUUAUUUGUAUAUGGUUUUGAAGCACUGGUGAAUUGAGUCGGCUAUGGUACGGAGUUCAUCCUUCAACUAGAAUACAAUUGAGACUGUAUUGGCUAUUCCAAAUUGGUUAUUGGUCCCUGGUAACAGGGUGGUGCUCCGUAAAUUAAGUAAUUGUUAAUUCAAUUAAUAAUUAUUAAAUCAAUAAUAGUAAGUGUUUCACU